rnacentral:rRNA from 1 species
ACCGGCGGCUCGAGUGGUGGCCACUAUUACUGGGCUUAAAGCGUUCGUAGCCGGCUUGUUAAGUCUCUGGUGAAAUCUCCCGGCUUAACUGGGAGACUUCUUUGGGAUACUGGCAGGCUAGGGGUCGGAAGAGGUGAGAGGUACUCCCGGGGUAGGAGUGAAAUCCUGUAAUCCUUGGAGGACCACCUGUGGCGAAGGCGUCUCACCGGAACGGCUCCGACAGUGAGGAACGAAAGCUAGGGGAGCAAACCG